UUGUAGGAGAAGAAGAAGAAUAGGCAUGAUCUCUGUAUACAUCCAGUGUAUUUGGUUGGAUUACUUUCGUUCUCUGAGAAAUUUGAGAAGGGACACAGGAAGAGUAUUUCGUGGAGGGAUGUGUCCAACACUAUUGUAUGAAUUAAAUACACACUACCUGUUUGAUGAAAUGCAAGUAUAAUUCUCGUUAUACUUUGGUUUCACAAUCUUUCUGUUGUUUUUCUUCAUGUAGCAUCAUUUUUUAUUGCAGGCAUUGAUAUAUUUCUAUUUGUGCUCAUGCUAGGCAAUAUGAAGUCUUUAGUCUACACAUUAUCUGAUUUUUAGCUGCUCAUUAUCCCAUCAUUUUUUUAUUGCAGGCAUUGAAAAAUAAAAGAAAUAAGAGACCCACGGCCUGUACUUAAGGUCUAGGAUCUGCUAGGUUGGUGGAUCUGCGAGCUUGCGGUUCCUGUUGUUGAUCAACCGCUGCUUCGGUUCGGUGGAGGUUUAAUCAACCAAGUGAGUGCAGUUGCAAACCAGCUGUGCGGCUUAUAGGAGCACUUGCGCCAUCUUUGUAAUGGCAAACACCAUUCCCUUGAUUGUUGAUUAGUCAUCUUCUCCUCAUGAUAUGAUACUGGAAGGAUGUCAUGAUGGAACGGUUGCUUUAUGGAGGUCUCCACAAACUUGCCGUCAGAAGACAUUUUAAUGGCAUUGAAAAAUAAAAGAAAUAAGAGACCCACGGCCUGUACUUAAGGUCUAGGAUCUGCUAGGUUGGUGGAUCUGCGAGCUUGCGGUUCCUGUUGUUGAUCAACCGCUGCUUCGGUUCGGUGGAGUUACAUGAAGUAAUGAACAAAUGUGUGACGUGCCAUGCCUGCAAGAAAGAGCUUCUGUCAGUUGCUUCGGUCUGUGCCUGUUCCUUUAUGGCCAGUAGACUAAACUCUUUCGGCUCAUAGAUUCUUUGUGCUGGUUUAAUCAACCAAGUGAGUGCAGUUGCAAACCAGCUGUGCGGCUUAUAGGAGCACUUGCGCCAUCUUUGUAAUGGCAAACACCAUUCCCUUGAUUGUUGAUUAGUCAUCUUCUCCUCAUGAUAUGAUACUGGAAGGAUGUCAUGAUGGAACGGUUGCUUUAUGGAGGUCUCCACAAACUUGCCGUCAGAAGACAUUUUAAUGGUACUGUUGAAUCUGUUCCCACCAGAGCCCUCUCGUGGGCACGAUAAAUAUGUAAGUGAGGAAAACACAAACACCCUUGUCACUACUGGAGAGGAUGGCCUAAAAUUCUGGGAUUUAAGGUAUGUACAAGCUAUUUAAGAGGGCCAAGAAGGUGGAAUGGCUUCGCUUAUACAGUUUCUGACUGCUAACAGUGCCAUCAUCAAUGAGCUUCACUCUAAAGUCUGUUCAUGAGAGGGUUGGGCUUCCUUCAAUGCUAGGGCUGAAAUUGGAGAAUAAACAAGGGGUUGACAUGCCUGUGAAGUUCUAUUAGGUUUCAGGUUCCUUUUGUUGUGAGGUGCUCCAUGGCCCUUUGCUUGGUUGCUCUGUGGUGUGGCAACAGAGAUAAUAAGCAGUCUUGUAUACUAACCAAGAGAACAUCCAUUUCAUGAUUUUGGGUAUUGGGUUCUCUUUGCUAAACCAGCUGCAGCUAGAUGAGAGAAGUAGCAAGUAAUAUCAGGUGCAUAAUUUCUAUCAGUCUGUGUAUUCUAAUGACUACUGAUAUCCCCUUUCCUGUAGUGUGGCACUGAAUCAAUAGUCAUUUUUGCACAAUCAUGUGUCAUGUUCCUUUAUGAAUCAUAUAAUAUCAAGAGGCCACUUAUGAAACUGUUCAGAUUUUUAUGGCAGCCCUAACUUCGCUAGGUAAUAACUUUAUUUGGUCUUUAUCCAACUGGUUUUUAUCAUAUCAAAUUACUGCAGAGCGUACUGAUUUUUUUGUCACCUAGCAACGGUGCCUUUCAGUUCAACUAGCACUUUAAACCUCCGAAGGUUUAAGGUGAACAAUGAGAUAUUUUUGGGUUUGUUUGAACUGUUGUGUCUGUCCACUUGAGUGCCUCCAUAUGUGGUUCUCCUGUUGCAUUAGUUCUAUUUUUAUUUUUGAUCAUCUUGCCCAAAACUAAAGUUUCACUACAUGAAAAAUGACUACUUUAUUUUAUACCAUGUUAUCCUCUUUCUCUUCCCCACAGGACAGCGUCUCCCCGCGUUCUCGAUCCGGCGCCGCCACAUAUUGUGAUUCUGUAUCGGGCGCAUGUCGUCGCCAUAAGAGAGCCUGCUGGUGUGGUCUUCAUGCUUGGUGUGGAGAAGCACGGGAGGAUGAGUAGGACGGGCAUGGGGAAGGAGCAGCCAGGCCGGAGCUCCGGCGUUGCUCGCGUCAUGGUCGAAUGGAGCCGGCCAUCACUAUGGGUUGCUGCUCGCCGGUCGUUGUUCCACAAUUUUUUUACUGUUCUCUCAUCUCCUAUAUGGUGUCCAAGAAAUACUAAUGUAGACAAUUCAAAAUUUUAAAAUACCUUCUGGCCAAUUAUGUGGGGAAGGUGCAGCAAGCCGGCCCUCGCGUUGCAGUAGAGUGGAGCCGACAAUUUUAUGAUCGGUCUCUAAAUAUUUCAACUUGCACAGUUUGAAUUAGCUUCACAUGGUAUAUAGUUUGAACAUAGGUAUUCCUUAAUUUUUCAUAUAAAAGGUUUAGAAUUAUUACUCUUA